AGGAGAGCCGCACUAGCUGACGGCAGUGGCAUUGGAGAGAGCCGGUGAUGUUGGGAGAGCCUGAGGAACAGAUGUAUGGGGCAGCAAAAGCAGGAGGGAGAAGCAACCAUGCCUAGUUUCGAUGAAGCACUGUCCUCAUCCUGAAGAUGGGACAGUUCAGGAUAAUCUGUUUCUGCUAACUACCAAGUUUGGCCAUUUUGAUGGUAUAGUUCUGGAAACCGUGUUACUUCAUGAUUCACAUCCAUUUUUAUUUGCCAACAUCAACUGCCCCAUCCUGUCUCUUACAGAAAUCCAAAAACUGGGGGGAAAAAUGGAGAUGGAUAAAUGUGGAGUUUUCACCAAUAUGGACCUGGAUCCCUGAAAAUACACAGCAGAGGGAGUGAGGAACAGCUGAGGACGAUCAGACGGAGGCAGUCAUCGCAGAUAACGAAGGACGCUCGAUCACUUCAGUGGAGCGAGAAUAAGAGGAGUGGUACACAAAAA